rnacentral:rRNA from 1 species
GACGAACGCUGGCGGCGUGCUUAACACAUGCAAGUCGAACGGAAAGGCCCUGCUUUUGUGGGGUGCUCGAGUGGCGAACGGGUGAGUACACGUGAGUAACCUGCCCUUGACUUUGGGAUAACUUCAGGAAACUGGGGCUAAUACCGGAUAGGAGCUCCUGCUGCAUGGUGGGGGUUGGAAAGUUUCGGCGGUUGGGGAUGGACUCGCGGCUUAUCAGCUUGUUGGUGGGGUAGUGGCUUACCAAGGCUUUGACGGGUAGCCGGCCUGAGAGGGUGACCGGCCAUAUUGGGACUGAGAUACGGCCCAGACUCCUACGGGAGGCAGCAGUGGGGAAUAUUGCACAAUGGGCGGAAGCCUGAUGCAGCAACGCCGCGUGCGGGAUGACGGCCUUCGGGUUGUAAACCGCUUUCGCCUGUGACGAAGCGUGAGUGACGGUAAUGGGUAAAGAAGCACCGGCUAACUACGU